rnacentral:misc_RNA from 1 species
UUGGCUCUCGCAUCGAUGAAGAACGCAGCGAAAUGCGAUAAGUAAUGUGAAUUGCAGAAUUCAGUGAAUCAUCGAAUCUUUGAACGCACCUUGCGCUCCUUGGUAUUCCGAGGAGCAUGCCUGUUUGAGUGUCAUUAAUAUAUCAACCUCUUCAGCUUUUGCUCGUUGAGUGUUGGAUGUGGGGGGUCAUUUUUGCUGGUCUUCUAUGGUCAGCUCCCCUGAAAUGCAUUAGCGGAACAAUUUGUGGACCGUUCAUUAGUGUGAUAACUAUCUACGCUAUCGACGUGAAGCAGUUCAGCUUCUAACAGUCCAUUGACUUGGACAAAAUUUUUAUUAAUGUGACCUCAAAUCAGGUAGGACUACCCGCUGAACUUAA